rnacentral:rRNA from 1 species
AUUGAACGCUGGCGGCAGGCCUAACACAUGCAAGUCGAACGAGUGGCGGACGGGUGAGUAAUGUCUGGGAAACUGCCUGAUGGAGGGGUAUAACUACUGGAAACGGUAGCUAAUACCGCAUACCAUCAGAUGUGCCCAGAGGGGAUUAGCUUGUUGGUGGGGUAACGGCUCACACAGGCGACGAUCCCUAGCUGGUCUGAGAGGAUGACCAGCCACACUGGCACGGAGACACGGUCCAGACGCCUACGUGAGGCAGCAGUGGGGAAUAUUGCACAAUGGGCGCAAGUCUGAUGGAGCCAUGCCGCGUGUAUGAAGAAGGCUUUCGGGUUGUAAAGUACUUUCAGCGGGGAGGCGGUACCCGCAGAAGAAGCACCGGCUAACUCCGGGCCAGCAGCCGCGGUAAUUC